rnacentral:rRNA from 1 species
GAUGAACGCUGGCGGCGUGCCUAAUACAUGCAAGUCGAGCGAACGGACGAGAAGCUUGCUUCUCUGAUGUUAGCGGCGGACGGGUGAGUAACACGUGGAUAACCUACCUAUAAGACUGGGAUAACUUCGGGAAACCGUAGCUAAUACCGGAUAAUAUUUUGAACCGCAUGGUUCAAAAGUGAAAGACGGUCUUGCUGUCACUUAUAGAUGGAUCCGCGCUGCAUUAGCUAGUUGGUAAGGUAACGGCUUACCAAGGCAACGAUGCGUAGCCGACCUGAGAGGGUGAUCGGCCACACUGGAACUGAGACACGGUCCAGACUCCUACGGGAGGCAGCAGUAGGGAAUCUUCCGCAAUAGGCGAAAGCCUGACGGAGCAACGCCGCGUGAGUGAUGAAGGUCUUCGGAUCGUAAAACUCUGUUAUUAGGGAAGAACAUAUGUGUAAGUAACUGUGCACAUCUUGACGGUACCUAAUCAGAAAGCCACGGCUAACUACGUG